rnacentral:tmRNA from 1 species
GUGCUACAUUGAAAGUGUUCACAUGCCGUGAACUAGGUGGCUCACACCAAUGUUUCGGACAGCGGUUCGAUUCCGCUCAGCUCCAUUCCCAACCGGGGCUGCAAUGGUUUCGACGGGGCAUGAGGAGGGUGACUGAAGCCUGCUCGGUCAGAGCAACUUCGUAACAGCGAACAACAUCGUUCGUUUCUCUCGCCAGGCCGCCCCUGUUGCUGCCUGAGCCCAAGGGAGAUGGGGUGAGGUCAGCCCUAUCAGCGAAAUGAUCCAUGGGGGCUGGAAGGCCCC